UACGUAGGGUGCGAGCGUUAAUCGGAAUUACUGGGCGUAAAGCGUGCGCAGGCGGUUUUGUAAGCCAGAUGUGAAAUCCCCGGGCUCAACCUGGGAACUGCAUUUGUGACUGCAUGGCUAGAGUACGGUAGAGGGGGAUGGAAUUCCGCGUGUAGCAGGUGAAAUGCGUAGAUAUGCGGAGGAACACCGAUGGCGAAGGCAAUCCCCUGGACCUGUACUGACGCUCAUGCACGAAAGCGUGGGGAGCAAACGAGG
rnacentral:rRNA from 1 species